rnacentral:piRNA from 1 species
UACCCCAUGUACACCUCAGCCUAGGC